AACAGUUACAAAGAGAGAGAAAGGGAGUGCGGCAUCGGAGAGAGAGAGAGAGCGGUGUCGGAGAGAGUGAGAGAGCGACCAACGUUUGUGAUGGUACAGGAGUAGAUGGCGACGGGGAUGUUAGCUCGGAGGCUGCCAUGGCUCUGACAGUGACGACGGUUAAAUGGCUAGGGUUCCGAUCAAGUUCCGGCAUCUUUUCGGAGGACACUAACCGUAUAACUAGAUAAGUGAAGAGAACAAAAGCAGAGGGCUAUGAUCAAGAGAGAGUGAAGAUGUUUGCUUCUGCAAUUAUUUGGGUUGAUCUCCAUAUCUCAAACUACUAUAGGACAGAGAUGCUGAUGAUGUGAAAGUUGCUGAUUUGGAGGCCCACCUAAGGAGAGACAAAAUUUUCUAGCAAGUGGUUAGCUGAUGAAAAAGGGACUGAUGAGACGAAUGGAUCAAAAGAAACUUCCAGGUUAGGAAUGCAAAAUUUCAAUUUAUUAUUAGUAGAGUACAUCUAUAUUAAGAGCAUGUUUAAAUCUCCCUUUAUUUAAGACUUUGAUCUUUAAUCAAAAAUGGGUUUUCUUUAUGGAAAUUAUUGAUCUUUUUGUUGUUGAAUAAGCGAAAAUGAUGGAUGUUGACAAGAGUAACACCAGCGCCACCAACAACACUUUCAAUGCCGCAAUUUGUGUGUGUGGUUUUUAGGUUUGUUAACUAUUGCAACCACUGUGGUGGUUACGGUUUACUCUAAAAGACGGUUGACUGACUUGCAAAAGGAUGAAGAACGGCUACUGAUGUAAUAAGAUAUUGAAGACAAACAGUAACUAACAAAACAAAGUGUAAUUUCAUUAAUUAUAAAAUUAUAAUAUAAUGAUGAUUACCGGUAUUAGUGUGUUGACGUGCUGUGCGAUGUUGAUAAACGCUAAUUAUACAUGUAAGCUCAUUUGGUAUUUUAGACCUUAGUUCUUUAUCCGGUGAUUUUCUUUAUUUUGGUUCCGCUGAUUUUUUAUAUCAUGUGGCUUUUUCCAGUUGGUGCAGCUGUUGUUUAUAGUGAAUAGGGAUCAGCUCGGUACCGACCGGUACCGGAACCGAAACUACUGGUACCGAAAAUCCGCAAAAGUAGGUACCGGUACCAAAUAUACCUGGUACGGUACGGUUCGGUACCGGUAUGGUACCGGUGUUUGAGGGUAAAAACCGGUACCGAAAAUGUACCCGGUUCGCUAAAUUCGGUACCGAUACUGGUUCGGUGCCGGGUACCAUUUGCUCAUCCCUACAAAUUCAAUGUGGCAGGUAGCGUUGAUUGAAGAAAAGUGACAAUCCAAGGACUCGCGAGACGGAAAUCUUGUACAGGUAAAGUGGUAAAACCCCACCCUAACACACACAAAAUAAUUCAUUUAUAUUGCUUUGUUAUGAUUCACAAAUUUCUUGAACUGUACAUAGGGGGCUUUAACUUUUAUAGUAAAAAAGUAAGGCAUAUUAGUUAAAUGCUGGGUGAUUUAGGACCUGAUAACAUAUGUUUCAAAAGAAAAGGUUAAUCAAGUCUUUGUAAAAGGUUUAACUUGUGAAAUAUUAAUCGACAUAAAAGAUAAUGGUUUUCUUUAAAUUUACAGUUACAUUAAACCUAAUACCAUGUACAAGAGUUGGAGAGUUGUUGGUGCUAAAGUUUUAUCAAACUGGGAUGGUUUUUGUGUUGUAAGGGUACUGUGUUUGACUAAAAAAGUCGAGGUGUAACAGUUAAACCUCGACUAUAAAAGUAUUUCGGUAUACUUAUUGCUUAUCUUGAUGUUAAAGUUUGAGAUAAUACUCGCUUAUAAUCGUUUUUGUGCUUUGUUAGUUUGCAAAUUUCCCUUUCACUAUCAAUAUACAGACAUGAGUAUUUUUUCAAACAACUACGCUCAUCAAGAUUGGCUACCGGUUGUUACACAUCUUAUAGAGGUAGACUUUAGGCCACCACUCAACAACUGGAAUAGACCACUACCACCCAACAACAUUAAACAGCCAACAAACAACUAGAAUGGCUUACCACCGCCGCAAAACACUGGAGCAAUACCACCAAGCAUGGUAGGAGGGCCUAACUACCAGCAGCAGGGGGCAGUGUGGACAAACAAUGGAGGCAACAAUCUUAGAUGAAUCUUAUUUGAUACUUAUUUUGUCCUAAACGUUAUUCCGUCCAAUUCAAUACAGAUUGUGUAUGUACAUCGUAUAAAAUCCAAUUCACACA